GGAGCGGACCAGCCUCCCCCGUUCGGGCAUUCUCCCGUCACGCGCCACGUCUCUCUCUCCCCCCAACGGCGACGGUGGCCGCCCUUGAUCCCGGCGAGACAACCAGCCACCCUUCCCCUUCUCUCCCGCGACCUCCACACCCUGCAGCGCUGCUGCUCCGCCCCCAUCCGGCCUCAGAUCCGACGGCUGCGGCUCGUAUCGACACCCGGCCGGCGCAAACGCGGCAGCGAGGUCGGGGGUUGCGGCGGCGGGGGGGGGGGCGGCUCGGAGGCGGCUCCGCGAGCUCGGCGGCAGUCCUUGGCGGUGGCUGGGGUCGUCUUCGUCGGGCCCCUGCUUCAUCGCGUACGCGGCCUUCUCCUACCUACCAAGACUCCUCCCCUCCCCGCUGUCUCGCUCCUCUCCUUCCCUCCCCGUC
rnacentral:lncRNA from 1 species